CAUCCCUCAUCCAGGUGCUCCAGCCAGAGAGGUCUGCUGCCUCUGUCAUGGACUGGCCAUUAUACCUGGACACGGAAAGGCAGAUGGAGCUGUAUGGUCUAUGUUCUGGAGGAGGUCAGGCUUAACCGAAUUUCCAAGGGAUAAAUUGCUUGACAUUACUGUGGAAUUCAUCACCACAAACUCUGGAAAGGAAGACAGACGGAGAAAACUUGCUCUGUUAGGAGACCUCCUUAACAGUCUCAUUUAGGCUUGGCAAAGAGCGUGGUGGAGCAGUGUGGCAUCAAGGUUUAUUUACUCAACUACAGUCUAAUUCCACCUUUUGGACAAUUUUCAUCUCCUAAAGUGGCUCACAGCAAGUAAAAAAAAAAAAAGCAUGGCUUACUGACCGUAAUGGGAAGAAACACAAGGAAAGAGAGGGAAGGAAAAGGAAGAGGCUGCCACCCAGCAAUACAAGGGCAGAACAAGGUGAUUCUCUUCAUCACAAAAAUGGUUGACUUCCAAGAAGAAUUGCUAUGCCUGGCAACCAUUUUUUGAUUCGAGGCUGGAAAAGCUGGGCGUUGAGGGAGAGGAAGUAUAUAAGGCAUCCAUAAUUUUUUUCCAAAAUUCAGAAGGUGCAACCUUGAAGAACAAGACAAAUCCACUUCUUGGCUCUCUCACAAUACAGAAUGACAGAAGUUUUGUGCUCUGUAAUAGCAAACACCUAUUGCAACCUUAAAGAGGAGCCGAAAACCAGGACAUGCCUUCUCUAAGGCUAGUUAGUUUUUCUAGUAGGCAAAGUAGUUCCAGGAUUCUAUAAAUUCUCUGCCCUGUGUAGGACUAUUGGUUUAUACCCAAUCUGACCGAUCACAUUUAAUCAAAUGACCAGGUAUGUGUUACAAACCUAAAACAGACAAUGACCUGAUAGAUUCAGUUCUCCUUCUUCUUAUAUACAGCCAAUGAGCAUCUUGACAAUGUAGAAGGGAACAGACUUCAGCUCAAAAGUGCAUCCAUCAAUCCUGC